GAUGAACGCUGGCGGCGUGCCUAAUACAUGCAAGUCGAGCGAACAGAUAAGGAGCUUGCUCCUUUGACGUUAGCGGCGGACGGGUGAGUAACACGUGGUUAACCUACCUAUAAGACUGGGAUAACUUCGGGAAACCGGAGCUAAUACCGGAUAACAUAUUGAACCGCAUGGGUCAAUAGUGAAAGUCGGCUUUGCUGUCACUUAUAGAUGGAUCAGCGCCGUAUUAGUUAGUUGGUAAGGUAACGGCUUACCAAGGCAAGGAUGCGUAACCGACCUGAAGGCGAGGUUGGACACCCUGGAUGUGAGAAUGAGCCCACACACCUGCGGGAGGAAGCAGUAGAGAAUCUUACGCGAGGCAGGAGAGCGGAAUAGUGGACAGCCGGCGGAAUGAUGAAGGUGUUAGGCUGGUAAAGUUCUGAUAGCAGGAGGGUAGUAAAGUGCAAGUAACUGUGAACAUAAUGACGGUACCUGGACAAUAAGCCACGGCUAACUACGUG
rnacentral:rRNA from 1 species